GCGGGAACGGAGAGUCGACAUCGAAGCUGACAUCUGUGGACAGCGAGCCAGUCAGGUCCUUGGGCAGGCUGGGGGGAGACUCUCCGCUCACUGAGCAGAAAUUCGUAGAAGCAAAAAUCUGCUAAUGUCAACACAAUACAAGCAGCUGUAGGAGGGAUGGGGGUGUGGGUGCAGCCACAGAGUCCUACUCGGCAAAGAUUACCACAGGACUACGAUGCAGGGGACGGUGACGUUUAAACAGAGCGAGCCAGCAGCUCGCUGGCUCACACGCCCUUACUUGAGGCGAGCCUCCAGGAAAGACACGAGAAGCAGCCAGGAAGAACCAGUCAUCACUGCGAUACACUGAUGUGAACAGACGCGCCCAAUGCUCACCGUGUUCAUGUCCAUGGUCAUGUCAUGUUGUGACGAUGUCUGGUUGUCUGACGUGGAGCAGCAGUUCACGGAGGACUGCAGCUGGACCAGACCUGUCUGCUGGGAAAUAAAGAGCGGGGUCUUAAUGGAUACAGACAUCGUGCAGUCAUCAAGUAUCACUUUAUAUGUUUUAAUGCUGGCUUAUCACAGAUUAAGUACAUCAGUAUCUGCUUUUAUAGUCUAUUUACUGAUAUGUAGAACUAAUUAACAAUACAUAAAUGGCUACAGGCUGCAUUAUUAUGUAAUGUACUGUACAGUAUAUUAGGACCUUACAGCUUAAUUCAUUUUCCAGUGGUUUACUGUUCAAAUUCUACUGUAAUCUUAUAUGUAUCGUUGUUGACAAUGAUGUUCAUCAGUAAACUGUCAAAUAUCCUUCAUAUCUUGGACAUGUGUUUGCCACAACACUUUAAUAAAUAUCUUUGAG